rnacentral:rRNA from 1 species
UACGUAGGGCGCGAGCGUUGUCCGGAAUUAUUGGGCGUAAAGAGCUCGUAGGCGGCCUGUUGCGUCCGCUGUGAAAUCCCAGGGCUCAACCCUGGGCGUGCAGUGGAUACGGGCAGGCUGGAGGCAGGCAGGGGAGAACGGAAUUCCCGGUGUAGCGGUGAAAUGCGCAGAUAUCAGGAGAAACACCGGUGGCGAAGGCGGAUCUCUGGGCCUGUUCUGACGCUGAGGCGCGAAAGCUAGGGGAGCGAACAGG